rnacentral:rRNA from 1 species
AUACGGAGGAUCCGAGCGUUAUCCGGAUUUAUUGGGUUUAAAGGGUGCGCAGGCGGCCAUUUAAGUCAGCGGUUAAAUCGUGGGGCUCAACCCCAUUCUGCCGUUGAUACUGGGUGGCUUGAUUGCGGUCGAGGUUGGCGGAAUUCGGUGUGUAGCGGUGAAAUGCAUAGAUAUGACGAAGAACACCGAUUGCGUAGGCAGCUGACCAGACCGCAAAUGACGCUCAUGCACGAAAGUGCGGGGAUCGAACAGGAUUAGAUACCCUGGUAGUCCGCACAGUAAACGAUGAAUACUUGUUUUCGGCGAUAUAAUGUCGGAGGCAAAGCGAAAGCGAUAAGUAUUCCACCUGGGGAGUACGCCGGCAACGGUGAAACUCAAAUGAAUUGACGGGG